AUGAAACGUCGUGGGUGGAGGGUGGAGCCCAAAUGUUCCUUUUGUGGGGAGAGAGAAACCUCCUGGCAUCUCUUUUUCUCUUGCCAUGUUGCUAGGGUUACCUGGAGAGUAGUUGAGUGUAUGUUUGGUACAGAUUUAUGCCCUGACAACUUGUGGCAGGCUUAUGUUUGGUGUUAUACUUUCUUCCCGGGUGGCAAUGUUUUCUAUACGGUGGGCAUUGCAGCUGUGUGUUGGGCUAUUUGGACUUGCCGCAGCCGAGCUACUUUUGAACAUAUCCCUCUUAAAACCCCAUUUGAAUGCAUUUUCUCUGUAUGUGCACUUCUUUGUGACUGGGCAGGAUUGUUGAGACAAGAGGAUGCUGAGACCCUGAGGGCUGGAGGAGCUCUGCUGAAGGACAACGCGUCUCGCAUGAUGAGGAUCUGCGCAACGGCGCACCAGGAUGGGGGAGUGCACCGAGGAUAG
rnacentral:rRNA from 1 species